CACGUAGGCACCAAGCGUUGUCCGGAUUUAUUGGGCGUAAAGAGCGUGUAGGCGGCUAGAUAGGUCCGUUGUGAAAACUCGAGGCUCAACCUCGAGACGCCGAUGGAAACCAUCCAGCUAGAGUCCGGAAGAGGAGAGUGGAAUUCCCGGUGUAGCGGUGAAAUGCGCAGAUAUCGGGAAGAACACCCGUGGCUAAGGCGGCUCUCUAGUACGGUACUGACGCUGAGACGCGAAAGCGUGGGGAGCGAACAGG
rnacentral:rRNA from 1 species